rnacentral:rRNA from 1 species
UACGAAGGGGGCUAGCGUUGCUCGGAAUCACUGGGCGUAAAGCGCACGUAGGCGGACUCUUAAGUCGGUGGUGAAAUCCUGGAGCUUAACUCCAGAACUGCCUUCGAUACUGGGAGUCUCGAGUCCGGGGAGAGGUGAGUGGAACUGCGAGUGUAGAGGUGAAAUUCGUAGAUAUUCGCAAGAACACCAGUGGCGAAGGCGGCUCACUGGCCCGGUACUGACGCUGAGGUGCGAAAGCGUGGGGAGCAAACAGG